rnacentral:lncRNA from 1 species
UGUGGGAUUGUACAUUCUCUUCCCGGCGCUAGGAUCCAGAGGAACAGCCAUUCUCUCACCUUUUUCUCACACGCUUUCUCUCUCUCUCUCUCUCUCUCUCUCUCUCUCUCUCUCUCUCUCUCCUCAAGACUGUUUUAAAGUCUUUGCUAGACUUGGGCUCACACGUUACUUCCUGGGUGGAUGGAGGAAUGGAAAGCUUCCAGCACCUCUCCACCACCAACAACACUGAGUCUCUUCUUAUUGUGUGCCCGACGAGUACUGCCUCCACCGCCGCUGCGGCAGGAGCGACGACGCGCUGUGUGGACCUUCACUGCUUGUCUCCUUUAAGCCGCUUUUCCCUUGCUGCACAUUCACGGCCCUUCAGAACCAUCAGUGUCCGGGUGUUAUGUGCAUAUCCUGGAAUAUAGGUGGAAUUCUGGAAUUGAAGGACUCUUUACUGGACCUCUAACUACAUUUCUCCGCCCACCCCUUCACUGUGCCCAGUCUCUGUCUGCUCUGCCUUUCCGAAUCUGCUUUUUACGCAGCCAAGACGUGGCUGAUUUGACCACAAAAGGGAGAAACUCAACAGUUGCUGCUGCUUAUUGUUUGCAUGUCGACCUGCAUAUCACUAACAUGUGGAGGCUACUGCAAUCGUGUUGUCGCUCCUGGUGGAUUGUGCCUCUUAUUUUGCCAGCCUUCGUGCUCCUUUGGGCCGAGUGUCAUCCUGCACUGACAGGAAGCCAAGUCGAGUCUCAGGCCCCUAUCCAAGGCUUUCGCAGGGCCACGGCCAGCGGGAGACGACUCCGGAGAGCCACCACCGAAGAGACCUAUUGGGCCUACUCAGCUCGUUUUACAACACUUGAGUCUCGGGCGAGACUAUGAACAGCUUCGGAGGUGGACAGGCCGCCCACCAUCGGUGCAGGACCCCAAGUGCCACAUCUAUAAUUCGCCUGCCAAUUCUCAUCCAGCUCACCUCUGCCACCAUCUCAACACCACCCUCCCUUCCUAACCCUUUAAAUCUCAUAUAGCCAACAAACGCACAAAGUCUGUGAAGUCUCCCUCCCAGCAUGGCAUUGACGAGACAAGCCUAGGCCGU